GAUGAACGCUGGCGGCGUGCCUAAUACAUGCAAGUCGAGCGAACAGACGAGGAGCUUGCUCCUCUGACGUUAGCGGCGGACGGGUGAGUAACACGUGGAUAACCUACCUAUAAGACUGGGAUAACUUCGGGAAACCGGAGCUAAUACCGGAUAAUAUAUUGAACCGAAUGGUUCAAUAGUGAAAGACGGUUUUGCUGUCACUUAUAGAUGGACCCGCGCCGCAUUAGCUAGUUGGUAAGGUAACGGCUUACCAAGGCGACGAUGCGUAGCCGACCUGAGAGGGUGAUCGGCCACACGGGAGCUGAGACGCGCUCCAGAAUCGGACGGGAGGCAGCGGUCGGAAAUCUACCGGAGGGGGCGAAAGCCUGACGGAGCAAAGCGGCGUGAGUGAUGAAGGUCUUCGGAUCGUAAAACGUUGUUAUAAGGGAAGAACAAAUGUGUAAGUAACGAUGAACGUAUGGACGGAACAUAAUAAGAAAGCCCCGGUUAAUUACUU
rnacentral:rRNA from 1 species